AACUUUCAGCAGUGGAUGUCUAGGCUCGCACAUCGAUGAAGAACGCUGCGAACUGCGAUACGUAAUGCGAAUUGCAGGAUUCAGUGAGUCAUCGAAAUUUUGAACGCAUAUUGCACUUCCGGGUUAGUCCUGGAAGUAUGCCUGUAU
rnacentral:rRNA from 1 species